rnacentral:rRNA from 1 species
GGUUUGGGAUGGGCUCGCGGCCUAUCAGCUUGUUGGUGAGGUAAUGGCUCACCAAGGCGUCGACGGGUAGCCGGCCUGAGAGGGUGACCGGCCACACUGGGACUGAGACACGGCCCAGACUCCUACGGGAGGCAGCAGUGGGGAAUAUUGCACAAUGGGCGGAAGCCUGAUGCAGCAACGCCGCGUGAGGGAUGACGGCCUUCGGGUUGUAAACCUCUUUUAGCAGGGAAGAAGCGAAAGUGACGGUACCUGCAGAAAAAGCGCCGGCUAACUACGUGCCAGCAGCCGCGGUAAUACGUAGGGCGCAAGCGUUAUCCGGAAUUAUUGGGCGUAAAGAGCUCGUAGGCGGUUUGUCGCGUCUGCUGUGAAAACCCGAGGCUCAACCUCGGGCCUGCAGUGGGUACGGGCAGACUAGAGUGCGGUAGGGGAGAUUGGAAUUCCUGGUGUAGCGGUGGAAUGCGCAGAUAUCAGGAGGAACACCGAUGGCGAAGGCAGAUCUCUGGGCCGUAACUGACGCUGAGGAGCGAAAGGGUGGGGAGCAAACAGGCUUAGAUACCCUGGUAGUCCACCCCGUAAACGUUGGGAACUAGUUGUGGGGUCCAUUCCACGGAUUCCGUGACGCA